GAUGAACGCUGGCGGCGUGCCUAACACAUGCAAGUCGAACGGACAGACGAUGAGCUUGUGCCUUUGACGUUAGCGGCUGACGGGUGAGUAACGCGUGCAUCAGCUACUUAUAAUUCGGGGAUGAUUACGGAAGACGGGAUCUAAUAACACAGCAUAUAUUGAACCGCAGGGAGCAAUAGAGAUUGGCGGCUUUGCUGUCUGUAUUAGCUGGUUCCGCGCCGCAUUAGCUAGUUGGUAAGGUAACGGCCUACCAAGGCUACGAUGCGUAGCCGACCUGAGAGGGUGAUCGGCCACACUGGAACUGAGACACGGUCCAGACUCCUACGGGAGGCAGCAGUAGGGAAUAUUCCGCAAUGGGCGCAAGCUUGACCCAGCCAUGCCGCGUGAGUGAUGAAGGCCUUCGGAUCGUAAAGCCCUUUUAUUGGGAAAGAACAGCUGCGGGAGUAACCAUGGCCGUCUUGACGGUACCUAAUCAAAAAGCACCGGCUAACUACGUG
rnacentral:rRNA from 1 species